CAGUCGCCGCGGUAAUACGUAGGUCCCGAGCGUUGUCCGGAUUUAUUGGGCGUAAAGCGAGCGCAGGCGGUUAGAUAAGUCUGAAGUUAAAGGCUGUGGCUUAACCAUAGUACGCUUUGGAAACUGUUUAACUUGAGUGCAGAAGGGGAGAGUGGAGUUCCAUGUGUAGCGGUGAAAUGCGUAGAUAUAUGGAGGAACACCGGUGGCGAAAGCGGCUCUCUGGUCUGUAACUGACGCUGAGGCUCGAAAGCGUGGGGAGCGAACAGGAUUAGAUACCCCCGUAGUCCCUGUCUCUUAUACA
rnacentral:rRNA from 1 species